CAGAUCUGAUCGGGGAACCCAUAUCUGGAGAAUAUGCAUCUCCCAGCACUAGUCUUCGCAGAUGAUCUAGAUGUCAUCAUAUGACUUCAGGCCACUUGGAAUGUGCAUCUGCCGCAAUCAGAAACAUAGCAUCGCUCAAUGGACCUGGAAAAUGACUGUAUGGGUUAAAAUCGUUUGACAUCUUCACAAUCUAAGUAUGAAUACAGUGCUUUUGUUAUGAGCCAAUAAACCAAAGACAGCCUGAAAUCAUCCAGUGUGUAUGGUGGUGAUACUGGAGAACGAUGCGCACUCCCGCAUGUCAUUCAGCGUUCACCAAUAUUGAGCUGACAUGCAGCUCAACCCGUCGGGAAACAGCAGCUACAGUACAGGCAGCUGGGAGAGCCUGAGAGGACCGGAACAGAGAUGCCCCAGUUCCCCUCCCAAACACCUUCUUCUUGAAGCAAGUGCCUUAGGUCGCCUCAUUACAGACCUUCCCACCUGGGAUAGGCAGUGAUUGCUUUGAUGCUCACUUCAGUACUGUUCUACAUGUAAUUAUAGCUAACGCUGGAUAAACUAAACAUCAGAGUGCAAGCUCCUGGUGCAACUUGUGUAGGCACAAGAAUAUAAAACUAUUAUAUAAAUA